AUAAUGCGAAGUCUCCUUAAUUGAAGGAAAUUAAUAUAGGUAGUUAUCAAAAUUAUGAAAUAAUUGUGUCAAAAACUCGGUUUGGUCCAGUUUAAGCAGUAUAAUUAAGAUUUUUUGCGUCGAUAUGUGGUGGAUGAAACAUAUACCGUAACUGAGCAAUUUAUCACAGGAAUUUGGACAGAAAUAAUAAAUAAUCAACUAUGAUUUUGUCAACGUUUCGGAACGUCUUGUUCCUUUUUCAAGGAUGAAAAUAAAGCAUUUAUUAAUCAUAAAUAGAAACAUUAAACAUUGGAUUUCAUACCUCAUCAAUAAAAUAUAUAUUUAAAAUAGUUAGCCAAAGAAAAGAAUAAACAAACGGUUUCGACGUAUGUCAGUCAAUAGAUUAAAAACAAAGGAAGUGAUUAAUUUUAUGAUGAGCCUUAAAAAAGGAACAAGACGUCCCGAAACGUUGGCAAAAUCAUAGUUAUGUCAGUCAAUAGAUUAAAAACAAAGGAACUGAUUAAUUUUAUGAUGAGCCUUAAAAAAGGAACAAGACGUUCCGAAACGUUGGCAAAAUCAUAGUUGAUUAUUUAUUAUUUCUGUCCAAAUUCCUGUGAUAAAUUGCUUAAUUUUAAACAUGGACGUGAAUAGUACAGAAUAUACAGUAACCUCAC